rnacentral:rRNA from 1 species
AGAGUUUGAUCCUGGCUCAGAACGAACGCUGGCGGCGUGGCUAAGACAUGCAAGUCGUACGGACCGCGGUAGCAAUAUUGCGGUUAGUGGCGAAAGGGUGAGUAAUGCAUGGGUAACGUACCCUGAACUCGGGGAUAACAGCAGGAGCAAUCCCUUUAGCGAAAGUGCUGCUAAUACCCGAUGAAGUCGCCGGGUCGCAUGACCGGGCGACCAAAGGUGGGGACCGCAAGGCCUGCCGGUUUGGGAGCGGCCCAUGUCCUAUCAGCUAGUUGGCGAGGUAACGGCUUACCAAGGCUAUGACGGGUAGCCGGACUGAGAGGUCGAUCGGCCACAUCGGGACUGAGACACUGCCCGGACACCUACGGGUGGCUGCAGUAACGAAUAUUGGACAAUGGGCGCAAGCCUGACCCAGCGACGCCGCGUGCAGGAGGAAGUCCUUCGGGAUGUAAACUGCUGUCAGGGGCUAGCAAGCAAAGGGUGUUAACAGCAUCCGGCGUUGAGCCGCCCCAGAGGAAGCCUCGACUAACUCUGUGCCAGCAGUCGCGGUAAGACAGAGGAGGCAAACGUUGUUCGGAAUCACUGGGCUUAAAGCGCGUGUAGGCGGCGGCGCAAGUGUCGUGUGAAAUCCCACGGCUCAACCGUGGAACUGCACGGCAAACUACGUCGCUUGAGGUUGGUAGAGGUGCCUGGAACUCUCGGUGGAGCGGUGAAAUGCGUUGAUAUCGAGAGGAACGCCGGAAGCGAAAGCGAGGCACUGGGCCGAUUCUGACGCUGAGACGCGAAAGCGUGGGGAGCAAACAGGAUUAGAUACCCUGGUAGUCCACGCUGUAAA